AGCCCGCUCGCCGGAAGACCAAGGGUUCCUGUCCAACGUUAAUCGGGGCAGGGUGAGUCGACCCCUAAGGCGAGGCCGAAAGGCGUAGUCGAUGGGAAACGGGUUAAUAUUCCCGUACUUGGUGUUACUGCGAAGGGGGGACGGAGAAGGCUAUGUUGGCCGGGCGACGGUUGUCCCGGUUUAAGCGUGUAGGUGUGUGUUCCAGGUAAAUCCGGUUCACUUUAACACUGAGGCGUGAUGACGAGGCACUACGGUGCUGAAGCAACAAAUGCCCUGCUUCCAGGAAAAGCCUCUAAGCAUCAGGUAACAUCAAAUCGUACCCCAAACCGACACAGGUGGUCAGGUAGAGAAUACCAAGGCGCUUGAGAGAACUCGGGUGAAGGAACUAGGCAAAAUGGUGCCGUAACUUCGGGAGAAGGCACGCUGACACGUAGGUGAAGUGAUUUACUCACGGAGCUGAAGUCAGUCGAAGAUACCAGCUGGCUGCAACUGUUUAUUAAAAACACAGCACUGUGCAAACACGAAAGUGGACGUAUACGGUGUGACGCCUGCCCGGUGCCGGAAGGUUAAUUGAUGGGGUCAGCGCAAGCGAAGCUCCUGAUCGAAGCCCCGGUAAACGGCGGCCGUAACUAUAACGGUCCUAAGGUAGCGAAAUUCCUUGUCGGGUAAGUUCCGACCUGCACGAAUGGCGUAAUGAUGGCCAGGCUGUCUCCACCCGAGACUCAGUGAAAUUGAACUCGCUGUGAAGAUGCAGUGUACCCGCGGCAAGACGGAAAGACCCCGUGAACCUUUACUAUAGCUUGACACUGAACAUUGAGCCUUGAUGUGUAGGAUAGGUGGGAGGCUUUGAAGUGUGGACGCCAGUCUGCAUGGAGCCGACCUUGAAAUACCACCCUUUAAUGUUUGAUGUUCUAACGUGGACCCGUGAUCCGGGUUGCGGACAGUGUCUGGUGGGUAGUUUGACUGGGGCGGUCUCCUCCUAAAGAGUAACGGAGGAGCACGAAGGUUGGCUAAUCCUGGUCGGACAUCAGGAGGUUAGUGCAAUGGCAUAAGCCAGCUUGACUGCGAGCGUGACGGCGCGAGCAGGUGCGAAAGCAGGUCAUAGUGAUCCGGUGGUUCUGAAUGGAAGGGCCAUCGCUCAACGGAUAAAAGGUACUCCGGGGAUAACAGGCUGAUACCGCCCAAGAGUUCAUAUCGACGGCGGUGUUUGGCACCUCGAUGUCGGCUCAUCACAUCCUGGGGCUGAAGUAGGUCCCAAGGGUAUGGCUGUUCGCCAUUUAAAGUGGUACGCGAGCUGGGUUUAGAACGUCGUGAGACAGUUCGGUCCCUAUCUGCCGUGGGCGCUGGAGAACUGAGGGGGGCUGCUCCUAGUACGAGAGGACCGGAGUGGACGCAUCACUGGUGUUCGGGUUGUCAUGCCAAUGGCACUGCCCGGUAGCUAAAUGCGGAAGAGAUAAGUGCUGAAAGCAUCUAAGCACGAAACUUGCCCCGAGAUGAGUUCU
rnacentral:rRNA from 1 species